rnacentral:rRNA from 1 species
UACGUAGGGGGCAAGCGUUGUCCGGAAUCAUUGGGCGUAAAGCGCGUGUAGGCGGUUUGUCGCGUCUGCCGUGAAAGUCCGGGGCUCAACUCCGGAUCUGCGGUGGGUACGGGCAGACUAGAGUGAUGUAGGGGAGACUGGAAUUCCUGGUGUAGCGGUGAAAUGCGCAGAUAUCAGGAGGAACACCGAUGGCGAAGGCAGGUCUCUGGGCAUUAACUGACGCUGAGGAGCGAAAGCAUGGGGAGCGAACAGG